rnacentral:rRNA from 1 species
UACGUAGGGGCCUAGCGUUGUCCGGAUUUAUUGGGCGUAAAGGGUGCGUAGGUGGCAUGGUAAGUUUGAUGUGAAAGCUCAGGGCUUAACCCUGAAAUGGCAUUGAAUACUACUGUGCUGGAGGUUUGGAGGGGGGACUGGAAUUCUUGGUGUAGCAGUGAAAUGCGUAGAUAUCAAGAGGAACACCAGUGGCGAAGGCGAGUCCCUGGACAACACCUGACACUGAGGCACGAAAGCUAGGGGAGCAAACAGG